rnacentral:rRNA from 1 species
CCCUAACCGUGCAAAGGUAGCAUAAUCAUUUGCCUUUUAAUUGGAGGCUUGUAUGAAUGGUUUGACGAGGGCUAAGCUGUCUCUUUUAAAAUAUUUAGAAAUUAACUUUUAGGUGAAGAGGCCUAAAUUUGGCUGAGGGACAAGAAGACCCUGUUGAGCUUUAGUUUUAUGCUAAAUGGAUUAUUAUGAUAUUUGUAAUAAGCGUGGACCUAGGUGUAAUGGGAUUUUAGUAUGAAUCUUUAGUUGGGGCGACUGAGGAACAGCUAGAGCUUCCUUUGGCUUAGAAGGGCAAGUAGUGUGCCGGAAAAUGGUGUAUUCUUGCAGGUUGUUUUGAUCCAGUAGAAUACUGAUUAAAGGAAAAAGUUACCACAGGGAUAACAGCGUAAUCUUUCUGGAGAGAUCUUAUCGAAAGGAGGGUUUGCGACCUCGAUGUUGGACUAA